AUAUCAGUAAGCGGAGGAAAAGAAACUAACAAGGAUUCCCCUAGUAACGGCGAGCGAAGCGGGAAGAGCUCAAAUUUAAAAUCUGGUAGGCUUCGCCUAUCCGAAUUGUAGUUUAAAGAGGCGUUAUCUGGUCACGGUUGGGUGCUCAAGUUCCUUGGAAUAGGACGUCACAGAGGUGAGAACCCGUCUGGGCAUCGGGCCGUGGCCUCUAUGAGGCGCUCUCUACGAGUCGGGUUGUUUGGGAAUGCAGCUCAAAAUGGGUGGUAAAUUUCAUCUAAGGCUAAAUACUGGCAAGAGACCGAUAGCGAACAAGUACCGUGAGGGAAAGAUGAAAAGCACUUUGGAAAGAGAGUGAAACAGUAC
rnacentral:rRNA from 1 species